GUAAGGAAUAUUGGACAAUGGAGGCAACUCUGAUCCAGCCAUGCCGCGUGCAGGAUGAAGGCCCUAUGGGUCGUAAACUGCUUUUGUACGAGAGAAAACCUAUUUACGUGUAGAUAGUUGAUAGUAUCGUAAGAAUAAUGAUCGGCUAACUUCGUGCCAGCAGCCGCGGUAAGACGAAGGAUCCAAGCGUUAUCCGGAUUCAUUGGGUUUAAAGGGUGCGUAGGCGGAUUUGUAAGUCAGUGGUGAAAGCCGAUAGCUCAACUAUCGAACUGCCAUUGAUACUGCAGAUCUAGAAUAUAGAUGAUGUUGGCGGAAUAUGACAUGUAGCGGUGAAAUGCAUAGAUAUGUCAUAGAACACCGAUUGCGAAGGCAGCUGACAAAACUAUUAUUGACGCUGAUGCACGAAAGUGCGGGGAUCAAACAGGAUUAGAUACCCCAGUAGUCC
rnacentral:rRNA from 1 species